rnacentral:rRNA from 1 species
UACGAAGGGGGCUAGCGUUGCUCGGAAUCACUGGGCGUAAAGGGUGCGUAGGCGGGUUCUUAAGUCAGAGGUGAAAUCCUGGAGCUCAACUCCAGAACUGCCUUUGAUACUGAGAGUCUUGAGUUCGGGAGAGGUGAGUGGAACUGCGAGUGUAGAGGUGAAAUUCGUAGAUAUUCGCAAGAACACCAGUGGCGAAGGCGGCUCACUGGCCCGAUACUGACGCUGAAGCACGAAAGCGUGGGGAGCAACAGG